AGUCCACUUGUCAGUGACUUCGUCACACACCAGACCACAAGGGCUGAUGAGACUUCCAAGAUAAGUGAGGCG
rnacentral:pre_miRNA from 1 species